UCCCUCACACGGGGCCCGCACGGCCACCCCGCGCAUGCGGGCUGGGGCGGCGCCACCGGAGGGGCCACGGGCGGCGGAGGCUGCGGCAGCCCGGGGUUGCCAUGGAGCGGGAGCGCCGGCUCCGCGCUCCCUGCGCCGGGAAGGCUCUGCGCAAGAAACGCCGCUCGUCCCCUCUACCGGAGGCGGCCGCUCUCCCGGGCAGCCGGGCCGGCGGCUCUCAGAUGUGCCGGCGGCGCCUGUUCGGGAGCGCGGGGCCUCGCGGGCCCGAGCCCGCCUGUAAGCGCCUGUCCCGGGCGGCGGCGGAGCUUGGGGUGCAGGAGGCGGGGCCCGCACCGGCGGGAAAAGGUCUGAAGAAAAAGUCCAGUGGGAAAAAAUUACCAAAGAUUAAAGAAAAUGUUGAAUAUACUGAAGAGAGCUCUUCAUGCAACCAAAGCAAUCAAGUGACUGGCAGGAAAACAACAGACUUUAAGAGGAAAGAAGAGGUGCCAGAAGAAAGCAAUGUACCACUGAAGGAUUCCAAAAUAAUCAACUUUGGAUAUAAAGGAAGUUUGAAAAAUGCUGAAGUGACCUCAAGUACAGAAAUUACUCUUCCCACAGGUGUUUCCACCUUCCUCAUAGAGUGUUUAGAUGAAGAUUCAGCUGCAGAUUAUAGCUCUGCUAGCAACAGCCUGCAAACGUACUCAUCCCCUGAAACAUUCAGAGAUGAUGAUUUGGAAAGAUGCAAUUUUUACUCUAUGGACCUUGGCAAGUACAAGAACUCUACUCUCCUGGACUCCAGCAAAGCAAUGACCAUUGAUAAGAUACCACAGAUGUCAAAUCUUUCAGCAAUAUUAGAACCUGUACCAGAGGAUUUUCCAAACCAACGCACAAAAAGAAAGAGACCAUCAAGUUGCUAUAAUAGUUCUUCAGCAUUAAGCGUUUCAGCUACACUGGCAGGAAAAAAACUCUGUAAAAUAACAGCUGCAAGAGAGAGAACUCCAGAUCUAAAAAGUGGUAUGCGCUGUUCUUCACCAUUAGGACCGGAAAGCAAGUAUGGUACUCGAACAGCUAAAGCCAAAAGACUGAAGAAAAAAGAAAGCAGUUUUAAUCCCUUUGUAGAAGGUUCAUCAUCAUUUAGGCAGCUUGAUGCCCCAGAAAACACGUCAGCCCGAUCAGAGGGGCUGACAGCAGAAGUUCUGCCAAGCAAACCCACAGAUGCUGUGGUGCAAAUGACUUCCACCAUGCUAAUCAUGGAGGAAAAUAAAGUCCUAAAAAAUCCUGGUAAUGCUCAGCCUCUCGAGCUAGAUCUUAGCCUGUCGCCGGUGUGUAAAGCCUCACCUGGGGAAGACCUGUUCCUGAAUACCACGGGUCUUUUUGUUAACUCAGAAGAAAUUGUUCCUGCAUCUCUGAGCUCAGAAAAAGAAAUGACUCCUCAAAGUCCAGAAGAAAAGAAUAUUUUAAAGCCUCAGCGUGACAGACGGGAGAUGGAGAUCUGCUCCAUUGUGAGAAUGUCACCAGAGCCGAGGCCUUCCCGGCUGCACCAAGUCCCAGUUAACUCCAAAAAGUGCUACCUUCCCAAAGGACUGCCUGAAGAUUCUAUAACGAGUACCAAGAAUUGGAUCUGCUAUAAACGGAGAUGAGAUUUUUGGCUCUCAACAGGAGUUAACAGAAGAAAUUACUGUCUUGCUGCUGUGACAGGGUGGUAAAACAGAACUCCUAACUAGCAAAUAAUGGUUGUAUGUUGUUUGACAUUGUAUUGUAUUUUGUACAACAUUGUAUGUUGUUUGACAUUUAGUAUUACGUGUUUCAGUAAGCUGGUAAAUACUCAGAUACUUUAUAUUAAAUGAUUUUGUACAGCAGCUAGAUCUUGUUCUGGGCAUUAUUCUGUAAGGAUUCCAUAAAGAUGAUUCUUCAGUUUGUUUAGAUUUUUAAAAAGUUUGACUGAAGAACAGCAGACCAAAUGCCUUUAAUAGAAUUACUUUUGGCUCUCUCUCUGCUAAGAUUUCUAGUUUUCUCUAGCAGCAUUAGUAUCUAAAGAUGGGACCUCUGUUUAAGUGUUAACAUUGACUGUGAAGGUAACUGCAUGUCCUGGGAGUGGCCAUGAGAGCAUUCAUGUACUCUUGGAGACCCAGAAGUCAAUAGUAUGCCACCUUUAAACUCCUUCAAUGCUUAGGUCUGCAGAACUUUGGAUGACUGUGAGUUCUGCUGUAAUUUGAUUCCUGAACAUGACUACAGGUCAUCUUCACCCCAUCAUCUCUGAGAAUUGGCUCCUAAUGAUCAGCACUGACACCAUUCUGGACAUAUCCACUGCCCAGCCACUGCCAUCUCAGAGUUCUUCCUGCUUCAUCUCAGGUGUUUUGUAAUAUCACAUCUCUCAGUCAUUUUUCCUUCUAGUGGCUUCAGACUUCAAGUAAAUGCCUUAUGUGAACACAAUGGUGGGAAAAACCCUUUUGCAGCUGAACUGUUUGAAGAGAUGGAUAUUGAUGUUCUGGAUUUUCAGGUUACUGCUCACACUAUGUCCACAUAAUUCAAAUUCCCAGUGCUUCCAGUUCAGGUUGGGAUUGUUAAUUCAUAAAUGUUGUUCUUAAUGUGCUGAAUGUCUCAGAAAACACUGUCAAGAACAAUUUUUUUCUGCUUGACUUCAUUGCACAUUUAAGUAAUUUGGAGCCCUACAGUGUUCUCAUUACAAUAUCCUUUACUCAGACUUUCUCUGGACAAAAAGGAAGUUUUUCAAUGUUACAAAAUGCUAGUAUGGCUUUCAAAAGUCUAAGUUUGUUUCUCAGUGUUAUCACCCUGGAAAAUAGUUCUGUAUUUCCUAAAAGAGCAUUAAAAGAAGACAUACAAAAUCCACAACUGUAGUUUGACUGCAUUUGAAAAUACCUGUAAAAGUUCAAACCCUGAUCUUUUCCCCAUUGCUCUGGGGUAGAAGGAAGUGCAAAUAAUUGCUGCUGGAUUAGUCUGUGAACAAGUAUUAUAUAAACAUUCUGAAUGGCUCAAGGUUAAAAAUUAUGCCAUUAAGCUAUUUUUCUUUUAAGCAUUAAUAGAACGAGUUCUGCCAAUAACUCCUUGGAGUCCUGUUGGGUAUGCUUUUAAUUAUCAAUAUCCUUGUUCUUGCAAAUACUAAAUCACUAGUAAUUAUGCAGGAAUCUAGAGCCCCUAGGAGACAGAGGUGAGCUCCUUGAUGUAGCUUUAAGCAAAAAUGAAAGUUACAUAUUUAGUAAGUUUACUUGAAUAAUCAUCAUAAUGCUUAUGAUGAUUAUUCAAGUAAAGGAUGGUCCACAAUAAAGAUGUUUAUUGUAAGGAUGUUCUGGAAGUC
ensembl:lncRNA